rnacentral:rRNA from 1 species
CCUACGGUGAGCAGCAGUGAGGAAUAUUGGUCAAUGGCCGUAAGGCUGAACCAGCCAAGUCGCGUGAAGGAAGAAGGAUCUAUGGUUUGUAAACUUCUUUUAUAGGGGAAUAAAGGUAUCCACGUGUGUAUAUUUGCAUGUACCCUAUGAAUAAGCAUCGGCUAACUCCGUGACAGCAGCCGCGGUAAUACGGAGGAUGCGAGCGUUAUCCGGAUUUCUUGGGUUUAAAGGGUGCGUAGGUUGUUUUUUAAGUCAGCGGUGAAAGUUUGUGGCUCAACCAUAAAAUUGCCGUUGAAACUGGAAGACUUGAGUGUGUUUGAGGUAGGCGGAAUGCGUGGUGUAGCGGUGAAAUGCAUAGAUAUCACGAAGAACUCCGAUUGCGAAGGCAGCUUACUAAGCCAUAACUGACACUGAAGCACGAAAGCGUGGGGAUCAAACAGGAUUAGAUACCCUAGUAGUC